GUGCUCAAGCUAAUGACCCAGGGCCUUACAGGAGGGGCUGGAAUUAGAAGGCCCAGCUCUGGAAUGAACGCUGUGUAAAAAGCUGCACUUGGCCAGCUGGCUUUGAAGACGGAAAGGCCAGAGGCCAAGCAAUGGCGAGCCCCCUGAGGGAGCAGCAUGACUCAUUUCACCCUGGCAUCGGUUAUGAUGAAAACCACAGGUGCCUUGUCCAGAGCACGACAUCGAGAAAUGGUAACUGAUGAAUGCUUAGUACAUUUGAAAAUUUGAAAUGCACAGUGUCCAAGAAAGCAAUUAGAAAGAAUUAAGGAGAGUAUCUGUUAAAAAUUCACAAUUUGCUAAUAAUGAGGAAUGAAGCUUGGGCGCUCACCGGGGGCAAACACAAAUGAAUCAUGCUAAAAUGUUUUUCCAGUGGGGGUUUUCACAGUAGGACUCAGAGGACAAAAGGAAUGAAAGAUAAGGGCAUUUCAAUUAUUGCCAGAUUAUAAAAGGUUUGUGCCUGCACACGAUGAGAAGACACAGGGUACAUGCAGGACAGAUGAGUGGACCACUCUGCCAGUAUCGUCUGGGAACCUGAUACGCUCGUGGCAUCUUCUAGCUCUGCAGCAAAAGCUCGUAUACAACGACAGGCAGCUCUGGAGACCAAGAAAUAAAGAGAACUGGGAAAUGACUCACUUUCAUACUAGGGUUUUAAGAUUCUCUUCACUUAUAAAAGCAAAUCAAUCCUUUCUGUAUUUGCACGGCGGAGUCAUCUGUUUCCUUGUAUACGAAGAGGUUUCCAUUCCCCAGGUUAGAAGGAGGCUGUGUCCUUGCAGGGGAAGGUGACUUUUGUUCCUUUCUGCUCAUUAUGGGUGAGAUAACUUACUAAGGAGCUCAUUCAUCAAUCACUGAGCAGCAACCCUGUGUCAAGUGCCUUGACAGGUGCAGGAGGACUGCACUGCCUGACACACUGUCAUAUGGUAAGGUGGAAAGCUGUGUCUCUGGGGAAAAUUCAUGACAGCAUUUCUUACACAGCAGUGGCUGUCUGCUCCUGGAGGCUGCUGUCUUAAUUAAACCCGGAGAGGCUACCCUCUCCUCCUCUUACACUUCCCUCUGUUACAGAGAGUAAAGGGGAGCAGAGGGGGUGUUUGUAACUUGUGACUCUGAAAUUUGAAUCAAAGCCUUAAGUAUAUAAUAUGUCUCUCAUUCCAAUAGAAGACAAUUUUGUAUUCCCAAGGAACUCUGUAUUUGCUCUUAGAGAGGCCAUUUCCUCACUCAGGAGUUAGAAGAAACUGAGUGCUAUUUUCCUUUGUGGUGUAAUCAGUCAUUACACACAGCAGCUACUGAAAACAUACCUGCAUAGCCUCCCACAUUCAGUAGGAAGGGAGCCUGGCAGUGAUCAGGGGAGUCCUUUCUGUAAGACCUCAUAGGGCUCCCACUGUGUGUGGGGCAUAAGUGAGGUCUUCUCUGUGGAGUGGCUCGGGAAGGUUGAAGGCUUCAGCCAGACUGUCCUCAGAUCCUUGCCAUGUGAGUCUCGCAACAAAGCAGUUCAAUUCUUUGAACCCUUCCAGGAGUAAGAAAGGCCAGCAUAAAGCAGACACUAAAGUCCUGUACGAUGCAAUCAGAUAAGUCCUGUCAGCAGGACAUACCUGGCUACAAGCAGACAGGAGAUCCUGAGCAUGUUCUAAGGAGGGGAUUCUACCCGACCAUUACCAUAGGAAACACAGGCCCUGGGAGCCACCCACAGAGUCUGCCUAACACAUGACUUCAGACUUUUCUCCAUGCUAUGUCAUGUCAGAACUUACUUGCUUUAUUAUUACUACUUUAAAUGUGCUUAUUUUUAAUUAUGUUUAAUAGUGUGUUAAUAAUUAACCCCGGCUAUAGUAUUUUGGACACAUUUUAAUCUUAAUAUAAGUUAUUUGCCUAUCUUUUUGCAUUUGUUUAAACUGUAAGUUCAUCACAGAACUCUGUGAGGUUCCCCUUCGCUGAGACUGUAAUUUUACACUGUGGAGCUAACCUCUUAGAAUGUGCUGCAUGCGCUCCUGUCUAGUCUUAAUCGCCAGAGCAGCAGGCUAAGGGCCCUGGAGACCGUGGCUGUGACGGCCUGGCACGCAGUAGUUAAAUUCUGACUUGCUUUGGUCCAAGUGGAUUCUUGCUGCUUCAGCGCGGCUUCUUCUCAUGCCCAUUUCUACCAUCACUUCUGUCACUUCUGUUGUCGUCACUCACACACAUACUUCCUGACUGGGAGCCUUCACCCAAGGCCUUCUUUGCUCACGCUGUCAGGUUCAUUACGUUGGAAGAUGAAAUGAUCUUCCACAGACAGACAGACGGGAACCACGCAGUCCCGACGAAGGGUGCCGCGCAUCCAGUUAGGGACGGACACACGUGAGGCAGGUGACAUUGUUCCUCUACCAAGUCUCAUUUCAAAAACUAAGGUGAAUGGCCGUGACUCUUUACUGCAGCUCCUCAUGCUGCGGUGACUCCUCACCACAGAAUUAUUCAAUUGGUAAUUGAUAACUGUCAUAUUUCUACUGGAAUAUGACAUAGUUAGGAAUAGUAUUGUAAACAUCUGUGUGUUCCAGGAGGCGCAGGCAACCACUGUGAAAGGGGGUCGCCAUGCACACUGCUCUGUGAAUACUGCAUCCAUGGCUCCAAGGCACUGCGUCUGUCUUGCUGUGGGGUUUCUAUGCUGUUUUAAAGUCCUUUUUACAUUAAAGAGGUACUUUACAGCGCAGAGGUAAUAAAUGAUUUCUCUUGAGGAAAAGUUCAGAAGUUUCAAAGGGAAACAAAACACAGUCUCCCGGUUCUUUCUGAGAAGGCCACUGUUAUCACCGUUAGAGACUGUGUCUGAUCUAACACCACCCAACCUUCAGGAGCAGUCACCUAUUCCUGCAUCCCGGCUAGGCGUAUCUAAGUCAUAAAAAUUAGACAAACUGUAUUUUGUUCAAUGAUUUUAAUUAAAAACCUCCCUCUAACGCAGCCUUAUAGAGUGCUUUGCAUUUUGAAGAACACUUUCACCCCAAACUCCUUAAUCCUUGAGAUGACCCUAUGAAGAGGAUAUCCCUUCUUCAGAGUCAUAAAGCUAGACUACUGAGAUAAAUCGGACUUCCCAGUUCUUAGCUGCAAUGACUGUAAGACUAUAUGCUACAAUACAGUUCUAAAAACGAGAACAACAGAAUGUCUUAACUAUGCCCUAGUCACACUAAAAGGACUGAACCUAGAGACUUAAAACACUGUCCUUUCUAAGCUUGUGACUGAAGUAAAUUGUCUGAGUCUUAAUCUUUUCAUGUUUUUACUGUGUGUGUGUGUGUGUGUGUGUGUGUGUGUGUAUGUGUUUUACACCCACUAGUGAAAGCAUAUGUGCCUUUUGCAGAGCCCAGAGGAAAAAAUACAGAAAUACGGUAUCUCGCUCCAUCAUUAUCUGCCUUGCUCCCUUGAGACAUGGGUUUCUUACUCAGCCUUGAGUUAGGCUAUGAGCUAGGAACUCCCAGACAUCCUCCGUUAUUCUCUUCCCAAACUCUAGCACCAGUAUUACAAGAAUCCACACAGACAUGCCUUUGUGUAUGUGUGUGUGUGUGUGUGUGUGUGUGUGUGUGUGUGUGUGUGUGUGUGUGUGUGGGCGCACCAGGGAUUUGAACUCGGUUCCUUAAACUUGCUCAGCAAGAGCUCUUAACUCACGCCUUCUACAGGACACAGUACCUACCUCACGGGGUAGCUAGAGAAGCUAAAGUAGCCGUUAACAUGUAAGCCUGUAAGUUAUAAAACUUAGCAGACCUUCUAUAUCAAUGACACUGGUUUUAAAGAUGAUAUUUAAAAUGUGAUAUUAAUAUUGUUCUGAAGGCAAGGCCUGAACUUUUGGAUCUAAACUGAAUUGUUUCAUUAUAUUAAGCAAUUAUGAAAGAUGUUAUGAAAACAUUUUAACACAGCUGCCACCCAUUUAGAUAAACUGUUAAUUCUUUGUCCUCAUAUAAAUUCUGGAGAGCACCUAUUCUAUUAUCUCAACAGAAUGCCUUCAGUUUGAAUGGAGACUUUUACAGAUCUUGGGAAAAAAACAUUUCUGUCUGGUCCUUGAGGCAUUCUGUGAUUAAAAUUAGUUUUUCAAAAAACAUUAUGGAAGAGUGCUUCUUCCCUGUUUCUUGCUAUCACUACAGAACAUCCAAUGCCUUCUGUGAUCUUGGAGCAGUCUCUGUAUUUGUUCUCCCUUCCUGUUUGAAAUCAGUGUGUGUGAAACUCUCCUAGCCCCAUUCAUGCCAGGGUCUACAGGCUUCUUAUUUGAUUAAAUCCUAGACUUUGUACAUCCUGCAAUCCCCUUGACAACCUUAUCCCUGCGUUGAGAGAAAUGAAAUCUCUCUUGUCUAGCCAUGCCUUAAUAACUUGAGGCUACUGAUAGUAUACAUGAUUAAAGUGUAGAUCUGAAAUACAUUCCUGGAAAUGAUCUUCUAGGAAAACCCAUCAUACGUGGAAGCUUUGGGACUGACUCACAGUAGAAAAUGGCUUGCAUAUAUUAAAUAGUUUCUUGAUUUUAUGACUCAAAGGCUGUAUAUAUUUACUUCCUAGGUGCAACAGAAAAUGGCAGAUGCUUCUAUAUAUUUGAUAGUAUUGAAUAUUUUCAGCAUCCAAUUUCUCAGAAAUUUGUUUAAUAAAAACAGCACAUAUUUGUCAAUUGAUUGAUAUGCAGAUGGGUCAAUAGGGAGGCAUGUAGCUGUCUUAAGAUCCAGGAUGAUAAGAGACAAGUGUUCAUUGCUGUCAGACUUCAGGACAUUCAUUAACGUAACACACAUAGAUACCAGGCUGAAGCACCGAUAGUGAACUUCAGGUUUUCCAGCAUCUAAAAUGCCAGGGAGCAGCACAAAUAUCUCUAAGAUGAAGUAUUCUUUGCUACUCCAAGUCCAGCCCAAGUGACUGCCAUCCCCACCCACUAGCUUUCCUGUUUCCUUCAUUCUUGUUACUCUUACACUGCAGUGUAAGAAUUGUCCAAAAAGCUUUUGAAAUGUAGGUCAUAUUAUUUGAUCGCUGCUUGAAACCAUCAAUGGCUUCCUGUGACUCUUAAAAUACAAGACAUUCCUUUCCGUGUCCUAUAAAGCGGUUGCCCUACAUCUCUAGCCUUAUCUCAUGGUACUCAUCUGCCUGCUUGUAUCUGGUGGGUACACAACUUUCGUUUUUACUAUCCCUCACACAUUUCAGGGUUAUUUCUGCCACAGAGCUUCUGUAACGGCUGGAGAAACCCUUCCCAUUGGCUUUCUUCCAGCUGAGUGUGGACUCCAGUCCCAACUCUUCCAAGGGACUUUCUGUGUCCACCAGUCUUAAGUAGCAUCUCCAUUUAGUUGCUUUCCCCAGCAUAUCAACUGGUUUUCUGCUGUGUGUAACAUUUACCUCCUUCUGGAAUUAGGGUAUUUGCUUCUUCGAUCAUUUGUUUACAACUUUACCAGCUACAUUUACACUGGAUGCUGAAGAGUAAGGUUCAGCCUAUGAAUGAUACUUUAGGCACUUUGGGUUUGAUAUUGUUAUUUUAGUGACUGUCCCACUGUGGACGUUCAGCAGUUUGUGCAAGAAUGAAAUGGAUCUAAAUGACUGCCUUUUUAAAGGGGUAUGCGUUUCUCUUUUCUUUUUUUCUUUUUAUUCUGGAAAUAAAAAUUUAACUCCGAAUGAAAUGGUUUUUCCUUGAAGCUAAUAAUAUUUAAAUCAUUCAAAAUAAAAUUCAGUGCAUUUUCUAUUAGAACCAUAUAGACCAUUCAAUUCAAUUUCCAACGAUACAAGGAAAUGUAUGUUUUCCAUUUCUUGGAUGGUUAGAGUCUGUGAAUAUCUACAGCCUUAAAUAUCCGACUCUAGAAAAUGAAGUCAUCAGAGAAGAACUGACCCCCACAAUGACAGCUUAGCCUUUCUCUUGGCUGACACAGUUCCAACAGGCUGUGAGUGAGAAAGCACUCCCUCUGGCCAGUUCCAAGAGAAGCAGGAGACAUAGCCCAUGUGACUCUUUAGGACCAAUACAAAACAGUAUGGUUGACAUCCACUAAAGGACAUGGUGUUUCCUUGACAAAUCAGACUAAUAAUACAAGUGUGCUAUCAGGAGAAAUGAAAAAAAAAAAGAUGUAAGCAGCAGGUACUGAAGACUGGGAUGAGGAGAUGUGAAGUGUGAACUUGGGAUUUGAGAGAAAGGAGGAAUCUAGGAAAGGUCAUGAGAGCAUUUAAGAUGUUAGACCCUGUCUUUCCCCUAUGUCAUGAGACAUUUCUAACUGGCUCAUACAGCUUUCAUUUAGCUUCUUUGCUAUGUGUUACACAUUUUUAAAAAACAAGUUAUUGAGUUAGAAUUGGUUUUGAUCUUGGAAAGGAUGUGGAAGCCCUUGGGGAUCUUGAUAGUUAGUAAGGUGUUAGAGUUACUUCUCAGAACAUAAAAAGAAGAGAGACGUUAACCCGGCACGCUACUUUUAAGAGUUUAAUUACUAAGUGGUUAACAGUUGUACUACUCUAGCUGGGCUCACUUCUCAGCACCAUCAGGGCAGCUUACAAACACCAUGACUCCUGUUCUAGGGGCUCCGAUGGCCUCUUCUGACCUUAGUGGGUAUCAGACACACACGUGGUGCACAAACAGACAUGCAAAUAAGACACUCAUCUACUUGCAAUAAAGGUAAAUUAAAUCAGAAGAGAUAAACGAUAGCUAAUUAAUGACAGAAACGAGAGAACUGACGCAAGCUGCUCACAGAGCCCAGUGUAUAUAAUUGGAGGGUCAGUGUUGCAAAAGGGAAAGGUUCUCCUUAUUCUCAUCUAGCUGGAUAAAAUUUAAUUAGUCAACCAAUUUAUAACAUUGGACUUUUAUAUUUUUAUAAGAAAUGCUGUAAUCAAAAUAUUUACAUACAUAUUUUUUAUUACUUGCUUUUUAAAAAUACCAAUAGUUGAGAUUAGUGAGUUAAAAUAUGUGAUUAAAAACAUUUUUAUCAUUAAAAUUUUUCAAAAGAUCUUGUGUAUAUGCGCAUGUGCGUGUACGUGUAUGUGUGUGUAUUCUCAAGAAUAUGGGGCCAAAUUACAUCCCCACCUGUAGUUGAUUGUUUACUUUCAACUUUAAUUAGUGGCAGGCCCAGAUGGCUCCUCAUUUUUUAAAUGACUAAUAUAUGAAUAAUUUAAGAGAAAGGAAAGUAUAUUCUUUAUGGAAUGAUUCAUGUCCCCUGCUUCCUUUGCCCAGUGCUAUUUAGGCCCUUGUGGGUGUAGAAAAUUUAGCUUUCACUGCAUCUCAGUUUUGUGAAACGCCGAAGAUUAAGACUCCAGCUAUGACUCAGCUGGUGUGUGGACACCCUUCUCCCCCAGUCUUUUACAGUGCACUCCCAAUAGUAAGUCACAACUCAAGCAUUCAGGCAGAAUGGAAAGGUUUAAGCAUAACUAUGAUCUUAAUUCUAAGCUCACUUCAGUCUUGACAUGUAUGUUUUCUUGCUUUAAUGCAGUAAGCUUUCUCAAUAAUCAUAUAUUAGUAUGUAUCUGUUUAUAAGAGCUUGAAUGAGGUAUAUAUGUAGCUAUGCUACAUAGUUCUAUUGGUUUGGACUGAUGAAUGGAUAUAGGGACUUGUUGUCACCUACUCAUAGGAGCAGGUUGGGGAUGGGCACAAGAGCACAUACGUGCAGUUGGCAAUGAGCUAGGACUAGGUGUGACUGUGUAAAGUCACAUGUACUUGGUGCUACCUCUGACGUUAAUGUCGGUGUGCUCCCCUGUAUGUACCGAUAUAAAGCAUUGCCUGUGCUUCUCAAGAGGUCAGCAUCCACUUGCCUUCCACUUGACAAAGAAUCUGGGGGAAGUCUGCAGAUUUCACCGAAGCCAAUGGCUAUCACAGAAGAGUGAAAACACCUUCUCGCUCCUUGGCUGUGCUGUACUUUACUCAUUAGCUUUCAAUCCGGGGCACAGGAGUGCAUUCCUGCUGGGGCCCAGUUUGCCCAUAAUUACUACUGCUGUUCAACAGAGGAAGUAGCAGGUCGGCCCUUCCUGCUUUCCCUUGAUUGACGUCCUAUCUGCCCCACCCUGAAAAGGGAUGAGGAUUCCUCUGUAAUCUUCUCCCUGUUUUUAUAUCCUACUUUUCAUUUCUAUGAAAGCUUGAAGGUGGGAAAUUAAACCAUUCUUUGGUUCUGAGCCAACCUUCAGCAGCCAAGCCAUCUCUUCAGCCCUUACAGAAACACACGGGAAACUCAGCGAGUUCUUAUUGUAUCAAAGGUCUCCUAUGGGGUAACUGGCAAGGCAUUUUAAAAACUAUUUUAAAUCAGAACUGAGCAUUUUGCCUUUAUUUCAUAAUAAUUUGCCGAUGUGCACGUCAAUCAAACGAAGACCACUGCUCUGAAGCAGUCGUGACCUCACAUGAAGAUUACACUAAGGGGCCACAAUGCUAUUGGCCACGCAGAUACUGAUGGAGAUUGGGAGAAGCAUUUCCGGAGUUCCGAUCCUGACUGAGAUGUCUGUAUUCCCUCUUUACUGUCUUACUAAACACAACAGAACAGAGCAGAGAUUUCCGUGGUCACCAAUAACAGCUGAAAGGUGAGGACACAGACACUGCUGUAGCUCUCCCUGGUGACCACUCUAACAGAAAAGCAAUACUGCUGUGUGUUUGAUAUUGAGAAGAGCGCUCAUCUACCCCUAUCCAAGUGGAUCCAAGCUGAAUGAAGCCCUAGACAACAGAAGACUUAGCAGACGGAAGGGAAUUUAAAUUACUUACUGGACGUCCUCACCACGCCACACCAGUACAACUCAGCAGCAGGGAGCACCCCCAGCUCCACGGAGCAGUUAACAAGCAUUCCCUUGAACCCUCCCAUCUUUACACGAAGCAGCAGUUAAGUCAUUUGCCCCACAGAACCGUGGAUGAACAGCUACUGUACUCACUGGAGCACCUCUGGAAGCUCAGAGACUACAGAGCACAAAUCUUCACGGAUUCACAAACACCCUGACAUUUGUCUGCACAGGCACUCUGAUGAGGAUUUGAUGGCCAUGCUUACAAUGAUGCUACACAUGGGAGCCUAGCAUAGUUUCAGAAGUCUUCUGAAAAUGGAUGCAAAAGUGCAUGUCAUUCAACACUCUGGAAGGGGGAUUUCAUCACAGUUCGGAGGAAUUGAUAACCCAGAACAUUCAGGACUGUCUUCCAGACAGUCUUCUGAGUUUGUUUUAAAGACGUAAGAACCAAGAAAACAUCCUACAGGUUUCUGAAGAAGAAUUUUAGUGUAACAUCCUAGGAUGUAUUUAUAUUGAAUGAAAGUGGAGACCAUUGCCCAAGUGAACAUCUGAAGUUAUAACUUGAAAUGAGAGCUAAGGCAAAGGAAACGAGGUUGGGCUUGGCUCACUGGGCUACUUCACUCUAGUAAUUUCCUCUUUCCUGUUAUAUACAUUAAAAAAAGCCACUGCUUACAGCAAAAGGCAAAGGACCUAGGUUUCUGUGAAUCAUUAAAGAGGUAUGCCCUAUAAAGCUGAAAGGAACUGACAAAAAUGCCAGCAUCAACAGCUACACUUCAAAGAAGACAGCAAAGAAACUGCUGGUUUACACGACAGGGCACACAUGAUCUUGUAGAGGAUAAAAAGUGCACACAUCAGUUUUCUGUUCUCUUCCAAAGAGAUUCUGCUGAACUUUAAAUAUUUUCUUUGAAUAAUCAUGUUUGACAGAGCUAAUGGUUAAUGUGAGUGAAGUAAUUAAAACUAAUGACAACAAUAUCCACUGGGUUAUGUAUAGGCAGGUGUUUCCCUCUACUGUUUCCACACAAGCAUAAAAAUGUUUACACACAGAACACUAGUCCAUAAAUAUCUAUAAGAAGCGAUUGAGUUCAGCCCCUCCUAAAACGCACAGAGAUAUCCUCUAUAUAAUCAAUUAUUAAGUUUUCUGGAUAUAUAACUUUAUUUUUAAAAAUGUAUUAGGUUACAUAAAAAUUUAAACAUAUACCUGUUAUAUACAGUGAACAGACAAUAAUUUAGAAGCAUGGCUUCCAAUCUUCACUAAUGUAUCUUUUUGUUUGUUUGUUUGUUUUAUUGGAUAUAUUUCUUUAUUUACAUUUCAAAUGUUAUUUCCUUUCCUGGUUUCUUGUCCAUAAGUCCUCUAUCCCCUCCCCCUCCCCCAUAGGGUGUCUCCCCCCAUCUACCCCCUUUAUGCCCCCCCCCCGACAUUCCCCUGAACUGGGAGUCCAACCUUGGCAGGACCAAGGGCUUUCCCUUCCACUGGUGCCCCAACAAGGCCAUCCUCUGCUACAUACAUAUACAGUUUGAGCCCUGGGUCAAUCCAUGUAUAGUCUUUGGGUAGUGGUUUAGUCCCUGAGAGCUCUGGUUGGUUGGCAUUGUUGUUCUUAUGGUGUUACAAGCCCCUUCAGUUCUUUAAUCCUUCCUCUAGUCAUAAGUUAUCAAAGGGCCUGUGAAUGUUAGUUCACCAAGCAGCAAUGCUACUUACCAGCCAGAUUUAUAUCCACAACUUAAUAUUCUGACAAUUAGGAGAAUAUUCUCUCUCUCUCUCUCUCUCUCUCUCUCUCUCUCUCUCUCUCUCUCUCUCUCUCUCCUCAGCAUUUGCAUGCCUACCUACAUAUCCAUCUACUUAUCUGCCCUUCCAACCUUGGAUCAUCUACCCAUCCCUUCAGUCACUCGUGCAUCCCUGCUUAGAGAAGAAGAUCAGGAGUGGGAUGGACAGCGGAGUGCUCAAGGAACCCUACAGUAGGUAGUGAUGCUACGGGAAGACACAAGGACAGCACGCUGUUCUGCUAAAUGCCACAUGUUAACUGACAUGGGGGAUGUCAUGCAGCCAUCAUGACUAACUUACUUAUAUCUGAUAUCUUCUAAUGUGGGAAGUUAGAUUCUACAAAGGUAACCACAAAACUAACUUCUGCCACCCGAUCUUUUAAAAUGUGAUCAUGGUACCUGUCAUCCAGCAUGGGGCCUGAGCCCCAGAACUGGAGUCUGCGCAGAUGGACAGAAUAUGCACAUUUUGCUUCCUAAGGCCUGCAUACUCAUGACUCUCACUUUUGUAGGAAUUCUAUGUGUAGGUAACAAUGCCCAGUGCGCUUGGGCUAAAGACUUUACCUAUUAAUAUUGUGUUCUCAUGAACCACAGUUUUCUUAUUUCUCCUCUUUUCAUACUUUGGACAUGUUAUUAUUGACUUUUAUAAAUAAUGUUAGGGUUAGGAAAAUCAUAUAUAAUAUUUAUUGCAGGGAAACAAAUGGUAUAUUGAAAAUAGUUACUAAAAGUUGAAAUUCUCAUGAAGAGCAGACAUGCCUGAGGGACUGAAUGAGGGAAAUGUAGAAAUGUCUAGUCAUCUGGGUGCUCUCUGGGGACUCUGGGCUGGUGCUGGGACUUACUUAGAAACUGGCCUGCUUCUCCUGUGUUGACUUGUGAGGUCCCUAGUUCUGAUCAUACAAUUCACAGGCAAUGCUGUUGUCUUGGCCUAAGUCAGCAGCUCUGAAGAGCAGGGAACUGAUCUGGUUUCUCCACAGCCCUUCCAUGAGUUACCCAGCUUACUGCCACAGUCUGCUCUUAGUUGUUCCUGUUUAUAAUCUUUUCUUAAAAUCCCCUCAUGGUUUGUUCUGUUUGGUUUGUCUUUGAUUUGGUUUUGUGACAAAGGUCCUCAAUACUUAUCCUAGUCUGUGUUAGCAAUUGUUAUGUAGCCCAGUCUAGCCUUAAAAGCACUCCUCCUGCCUUUAGAUAUAAGGCACCAUGGCUGGCUAAGUCUCGUCAGUCCUUUCGAUGUCAUUGUUGUCUGGGAAUCUUCUGUUGAAUUGGUCUGCUCUGGUCUGCCUCAGUAUUUUGGGGUUAGAGCCCUGUGCCACCAGGCCCCAUUUAACCUCAUUUGAUGUUACGGCCCCUGUGGUAUGCUUUUAAAACCUUCCUCAGCACUGGUUUACCGUCAUACUUCCAGUGUGAUUAUCCUUCAUACUUCUAGUGCGAUUAUUUUUUAUUUUUACUUUUUUUGCUAUUUAUUUUCCAAUGUCAAAGAUACUUUGGAAGAGAAUAGAAGUAAUGACAUGCAUUAAUUCGCUCUCUUCAGUUUGAAUAUAUUGAGAUCUUGAGCACUUUAAAUAAAGCAAUACUUUCUCCAGAACCCUCAUGUUUGUGUUUUUAAUAAGUAGUAUCAAUAUUACUAUAGACAAAUAUAUUCCAUGCAAUUAAACUAUCAGAACUAAGGUUUUUCCUCUGCUUUGUUUAACAAAUUAUAAGAAGGAGGAGAAGGAAGAAGAGGAGGAGGAGGAGGAGGAGGAGGAGAAGAUAACGAUGAUCACUUACAGUCCAUAUCAAGUACGGCACGGACAGACCUAAGAAGUUCCUUGGAUUCCAGAAGCAGGGGUGCUGGGAAGUUACGUCCGUUCCUUCCCAGCAGCGGAAGCGAGGUCUGAGAGGCAAGCACAGCUCUUCUUUCACUGCAUGGGCAAUGAGAUGGCCUUGAGCAUAUGCAUAGCAGUGACGCCUGUCUCGGCUAAACCUCAGUCUGUCCUUUAUGUCUGCACAAGAAUAUUUCUAUUCCUAGGAACACUGGAUCCAUAGAGCUAUACAAGAACACAGUCACAUAGAAUAAAUAGUAUUUCUGGUUUUCCUUGUUUAUUUUAUAGGAAAUAGGCAUUUGAACAAAUACUUUGACUUUAUAUUUCAGAAGGAAGUAAAUGAAGGAUAGCCUACAUCCUAAAUUGUUUGCUGGUCUUUUUAUUUCAUUUUGUAAAAUUUAAAAUUAAACAUGUAAACAUGAGUUUAUUAAACAGAUCUUUUCUAUUGCUUACAGUAAUAUUAAAUAAAAUAUGGUGCAUGUACAUUCACUUAAGAAAUUACCUUUUUAGUUCUCCCUUUUGUUGUUCCUAACUACAAAAAAAACCCUGAAAGGCUUUAUGCAAAUCUUCUUAUAAGAUAUUUCAUUUUGCUUUUUAUUAAUAUACUUUCUUCACUGAUAAUUUCAUACAUGUAGAUAAUGCAUUUUGGUUACGCUUCCCUGGUCAGCCUUCUUGCUUCCCUCCAACCCGUGGAGCUGGCAAGCUUCCAUUUUCCUUGUCAAUCUCUUUCUCGUAUUCAUCAUUUUUCAUUAUUUUUGUGUCCCAGAGUCUAAUUCUACUGCCAUAUGAAAUCAAUGCAUUACGAUAUAAUUUAAAAUGCAACCUUUUCCUGGGAAAAUCAUAGUAAAUCUUUUACUUGAAGACAGAUGACUUUAUUGAAAAUAAAUCAUGAUCUACAACCAGCAUCUUGAACAUGAUGGCAUUACCUGACCAGGGUCAGCUUAAGAAUUCUCCAAUACAAACGCAGGGCCUCUACUCUGUGUUGAAUGGCCAUGGUCCUACUCACACCAAAGAGUGAGCGAGACCAUAACAGGGUUUAGCUUUGAAGACACAGCAGAAGUUGCUUACUGUAGCUAUUUCAAGUGGGUUUCCCCCUAAAAAGUGUUUUAAAAAUUGGUUUUGAUAUAGUAAAAGUGAAAAUGAGAUGUAGGGGGGUACGUAUAACAUAUGAAAGGGAAAGAUUGCACUGAACAUUCCAGACUCCUUGCUAAAACAGUAUUCAUAGAAUCCACAGAAAUAAAUUACAAGUACUAUAGUUAACAAAAAUGUCAGAUAUUUUCAUAAUAAGAAAUGAAACAUUAAAAUGGAUGUAGAAGUCAGCCAGUGGAUAUAUUAUUCCAAAUUUUAAAAAAUAGCUUUUGCUGCUAUUCUUGUUUUAAGAGAAAGACUCACUGUAGCCUCCCCGGUUGAUAUUGAACUCAACAGGUUCUCCAGUGUCAAGUAGAAGCCACUAUGUGAGGCUGAUUUCCUCUACUGAGCUGCUGUUUUCACGGGAGUGUAGUGUCUGUCUCUGCAAUUGGUGCUGGUAGAGUUGGGCACAAGAGGGACUAUGGUGGUUAUAAGGAAAUCAUCACUUUUACCAUAGACCAGUAGGCACCUUUCUUUGGUAUAUGC